rnacentral:lncRNA from 1 species
AAUCAGUUGGCGGAGCGGCGCGUGCGCGGGCGAGGAACUGCCCGGGCGCGGUAGCGUACGGGAAGACCGGAGAGGAGCUGCGUCUCUGCCCCGUGGGAGCCGGCGGGGCGGCGGGGCGGCGGCUGCAGCUGCAGCUCCGGCGCGAGGGCUCCCUUGCCGGGCCCUCUUCCCCGACCCCUGGGGCGCUCCGACAAGGAAGAGCCGUCCAGCGCGCGUCCGUCCUGAGCGUGGGUGAGGCCUGGAGGAGGCGCGCGCGCUAGGCAGGGCCGCACAGCGCGGGCAGAGUGCGGGAUGCGGGCACCCGGCCUAGAACCAAUUACAGAGUCAAACCCAAGAGCCGAAGAAAGUGAAGACUCGCAGCUUGCCGCAGCCCCCUCCUCGGCCUGCGCACCUCCCAUUGAGGGCGUCCUGAUUUAAACGCGUGCCUCCUGCAUUUCUGCUUCUGCCCCAGGCUAGAGCGGCGACCAGGAACGCUGGACCCACAGAGAUCUGUGGCAAUGUCUGUCGAACCAUGGUGUUCUUUGGGGCAUCUGACUAGAGUAUUGUUUGAUAACCAGAAAGAAAUCAAAAAUUGGUGAUCACAAGGCUAAUGUCACUUUUGCUGCAGUGGAAAAUCAUGAUCAUUCUGUUUAAAUCUGAGUCAGUUUUGAGACCUAGAGCCCAUUAAUUGACAAGGAGGCUUGGUUCCUCUCAGGAAGGAUCUUACAAUACCAGCAUCUGAGCAUAUACCAAGAAAUAUUCCUCCAAUCCUUCCCUAAAGGGACCUAGAGCCACUUUAAAAAGUAACUGGUCCGGGCGUGGUGGCUCACGCCUGUACUCCCAGCAUUUUGGGAGGCCGAGGCGGGCAGAUCACUUGAGGUCAGGAGUUUGAGACCACCCUGGCCAACAUAGCGAAACCCCGUCGCUACUAAAAAUACAAAAAUUAGCCGGGUUUGGUGGCUUGUGCCUGUAAUCCCAGCUACACGGGAGGCUGAGGCGUGACAAUCCCUUGAACCCAGGCCUUGUUGCCGCGAGCCACUGCACUCCAGCCUGAGCGACAGAGUCAGACUCAGUCUCAAAAAAAAAAAAAAAAAAAAGAAAACUGAUUCUGGCUGGGGGCAGUGGGUCACGCUUUUAAUCCCUGCACUUUGGGAAGCCGAAGUAGGAGGAUCGUUUGAGCCCAGGAGUUUGAGACCAGCCUGGGCAACAUAGCAAGAACCUGUCUUUACAAAAAUUAAAAGAUUAGCUGGGCGUGGUGGCAGGUGCCUGUGGUUCCAGCUACUCUGGAUGCUGAGGUGAGAGAAUCACUUAAGCCCAGGAGGUCAAGGCUGCAGUGACCUGUGUUCACGCCACUGCACUCCAGCCUGAGCAACACAGCAAGACUGUCUGAACAGCAACAACAAACACACCAAAAAAACUAGUUUACUUCGGAAAAGGGACUGUCUAGGUCUUUGAAGGGCUGAUACAGGAUCUGAGCUGACACUGUUUCCAGGAGCCCUGAAGCAUCAUGGCCCUCUCAUUAGGGUGCAGGCUUAUGGAAAUCAGAUGAUAAGCAGAAUUCCCAACCCGAGUCCUGUGGUUACUUCUCUGGUCUCAAUGCAUACUUGGGAUGUUUUUACCUAGCAGAGGGCGGAGCGUAUACAUUGAUCCCAGGCCUUUGGUACCAUAUGUAAGGAAGCGCAAAGUAGAAACCUUUGAAACUCCUCACCCUACUGAAACCUUUCCAAGAUAGUAAGUCAGAAACAAUGCUGCAUUCCAGGUGUAAUUGCAGAGGUAUUUCGCCCUCAAAGACUUAUAAAGCAGUGGUUACCGUUUCAUCCCUUCAAUUAACCUGAAUGGCUCCUGCUAAAUCUUGGUGGAUUCAAGUAAAUGAUGAUGCCCUGCACAAACUUAGCCAAGUCGUGUCCCCGAUCACACAGCUGUGCUAGGUGUGGUAUCUUUACUGGAACCGAUAAAUGCACCUCUGGCUCUUGAUAAUGCAAUUAUUGACUUGGUGAACAUUCUUUUCAAUUGCCAGUGGUAAAGAGGAUUAAAAGCAGUUCACAUUUAUAUGGGAAGGACAGCUCUGUAAAUGGUCUUGCUUCUUGCUGUCUGAACUCUCCUGUUCUCUGUCACAAUAGUCCUUAGGUAGCUUAUCAUCUAUAUUCCAUAUAACAUUGAUGAUGUCAUACUAGUUGGACAUGGUGAAGAAGGCCGUGCAUGUCAGAGGAUGAGCGAGAAGCCCUCAGAAGUUCUGGAGCCUGCCAUAUCAGUGACAUUCUCAGGGGUGCAGCGUUUGAGGGCAAGCCAGGGACAAGUUAUUGCAUCCUGCAUCCUUACAAGGAAGAAAGAGGCACAGCAUUGAGGCACCUCUGUGUUUUGGAGUCAGCAUGCACCGCGCUAGAGGAUACCUCUCUGACCCCUUUAUUGGAGGAGUUGGUGAACAGCAGGAUGGAUGGGAUGUCAGUCAGCUGUGCCCCUGGCUACCCCUGUGCUUGAACAGUGGACUGUGAGUGGCGGCGUCAUGCAGAAGGAGCACAGGGUCCCAGGCCAGCAUCACUAUCCAGGAGCUUCAGGCAUGCUCCGUGUACCAACAUGGGAUCACGAAUCACAUCGCCUCAGGCCAAGAAAGCCAUUUUAUAGCGAAAGAGCCUUAGGAUCUGCUGGAUUAGAGCCUGUUUCCCAGGUAGGAACGCUUCCACGAGGGCACUCCUGCUGGUUGCAGGAAGGAUACCUCUGCUGAGCCUGAAUCUGCAAAGACCACCAGGUUACUCUCAGCUCCUCAUACUGGUGGACCAGCAGGCCACAAAGGAGGGGAUACUUGAUCCUGAUAAACGGUGAGGAGGUAGCGUGGCUGCUGCGUAACGGGGCAAGCAGGCAUUGAUCUGGCACUUAGAGGAUUCAUCUAGGUCUGUCUUGGUGCUUCCAUGCCAAGUAAUGACAAUGAAAAGGUCUUUUCAGCAGCCAUAGCCCCUAAGGGCUCAGAUGCCUCAGGGUGAAGGUCUGGGCAGCGUCACCAGGCAAGCCAUGGAGACAAGCUGGAAUGCUGGUGAGGGUGAGGCCAAGGAGGAGGUGGCUGCUGAAUAUCUGUUACUUGGGAGAAGCUGUGGCAGUGGGGAUUGUAUUUGUUCUGCUAAGCCUCUUGUAUUAAGGCUUUCAUAGGAGUUGUAACUAGCCUUUACUUUGAAGAAUCGUGACAGAGUAGACUCAAUAUUGUAGCUGACUAGAUCUGAGAGGGGCAGGAGAUGGUGUCUUGGCUGAUGCCCUCAGCCCACCUUUAACUGCAGUGGACACAGAGCUGCAUCUCUGCUGUGUGUCUUUGCACUUCCUGCUCCAGGCCUUCUCUGACACCAUGGCGGCCCCCUGAGCCUGUGCCGAGAUUGUGCCACUGCACUCCAGCCUGAGCAACAGAGCUAAACUCCAUCUCAAAAAAAAAAAAAAAAAAAAAAAAAAAAGGCGAGGGGAAUACAUACAGGAAUGGACUGUGAGGAUACAAAGCCAAGAAUGAAUUGUAGGUUAGUGCAAAUUUAUCAACAUGAGUGCACUUCAAAGAGAAUCUUUGAUUCCGUAUUUUGGCUCAAGGCCUGGGAGUAGUUAUGACCGUGCCUGGGUGGCUGAAUGAAGCCUGGACUCCUUGGUGGUUUACAUUGAUGGGAAGAUGAGAAUGUGGAGUGGAUUUGUGAUGUAUGUGACAUGACCUGGCUGCCACUCUCCUCUCUCUAUCCCUUCAUUAGACCAUUGUGUAAUUUAAAAAAAUAGGUUAUAAAUUUCUUUUCAAGAUAGUAAAGGGGUACGAUCAACAACCCAUGGAACGGGAGAAAGUAUUUGCAAAUCAUGUAUCUGAUAAGGAGUUAAUAUCCAAAAUGUAUAAGGAACUUACAAAACUCAAUAGCAAAACACCAAAUAACCCAAUUUAAAAUGUGUAAAGGACCUGAAUAGACAUUUCUCCAAAGAAGACAUGCAAAUGACCAACAGGUAUAUGAAAGGGGCCCAACAUCACUAAUCAGGGAGAUGCAAACACCACAACGAGAUAUGACAACAACGCGAUCCACCUCACACCUCUUAGUUUGGCUACUAUAUAAAAAAAAAAAACAAAGGCAAGAGAUAACAAAUAUUGGCGAGGAUGUGGAGAAAAGAGAACCCUUGUAUACUGUUGGUGAAAAGGUAGAUUGGUACAACCAUUAUGGAAUACAGUAAAAAAUUAAAACAGAACUACCAUGCAAUCCAGCAAUCCCACUUCUGGAUGUAUAUCCAGAGGAAAUGAAAUCAAUAUCUUGGAGGAUAUCAGUACCAGCUUAUUCAUUGCAGCAUUAUUCACAAUAGCCAAGUUAGGAAGCAACCUGAGUGUGCGUCGGCAGGUGAAUGGAUAAAGGCCAGGUGUAGGUGCUGGCUAGGGAUUCUAAAAUUAUGGGAAAACUGGAAAAUUGAUAUUAGGGCACCAUCUGCCCCUUUGGCCAUGCCCUCUCUACUUCCUGUAUACAAAACUCACUCACCUUAUCCUUAAGGGAGACCACUGUAAAAGUUCUAACUAGUUGCAGCAUCCAGCUCAAAAUUUAGGUUCUCUGACUUAUAUGCAAUUUGCUCCUUCAGGUCCAGAGGUAGAUCCUUGUGGUCCAGUGACUUAUAAAAGGUUUGUCAUUCAUCCUCCAACAAACUCAGUGUACACUAGUUUAAUCCAAUGUCGUAUAAACUAAAACAUAUUUUAUGUGUCCCAAACAUACAAAGAAAGAUUAAGGGCCGGGCGCAGUGGCUCAUGCCUAUAAUCCCUGCACUUUGGGAGGCUGAGGUGGGCGGAUCACCUGAGGUUGGGAGUUAGACACCAGCCUGGCCCACAUGGAGAAACCUCGUCUCUACUAAAAAUACAAAAUUAGCCAGCGUGGUGGCGCAUGCCUGUAAUCCCAGCUACUCGGGAGGCUGAGGCAGGAGAAUCGCUUGAACCCAGCGGGCGGAGGUUUCAGUGAGCUGAGAUCGCGCCAUUGCACUCCAGCCUGGGCAAAAAGAGUGAAACUCCGUCUCAAACAAAACAAAACAAAACAAAAGAGUAAGAAUUGGGUAAAUACUACAAAGACCCCAUAUUUAGACCCGAUCUCUAGUCUGUGGCACUUGCCAAAUCCUAUUGAGCAUAAAUAGUGAAGUCCCCUUUCCUGGCAGCGCCGGCUCAGUUUUCUGGAAUGUUUCUCCUUGUCUGUUAGACUUCGUGUCCACAUCUAGGAGGACACUGGAGAGGAACCUUCUUGGAGGCUGCGUAGUUUCUUCUAUGGGAUCAAAUGCCUCCUGGCUUUUGUAGGGAUUACUUUAGGAGCUGAAUUGUCAGAGGGUUUGACAAACUAGAUUGUAGUUUCUUUGGUGAUACGAUUUCUCCACAUUUUCAGUAGUGACAUUCUAGCUUCAUAACAUGAGUUGGGAAGGUUUCUGCCUCCUGUUUCCUGAAAUGUUUAUGUAGGAUUAGUAUUAUUUCUUCCUUAAAUGUUUGCUAGAAUUCACCAGUAAGGCAAUCUGGAUCUGGAGUUUUCUUUGUGGAAAGGUUUUUAAUUGGUAAUUCAAUGUCUUUAGUAAUUAUGAGGCCAUUCAGAUUUUUCUUUUUCUUUUUGUUCCAGCUUUGGUAAUUUGUGUCUUUCAAGAAAUUUGUUCAUUUAAUUUACAUUUUCAAGUUUAUUGGCAUAAAGUUGUUCAUAGUUUUAUAAUUCUUUUAAUAUCUGCUGAAUCUAUAAUGAUAUUUUUGCUUUCAUUCCUGAUAAGGUUAUUUAUGUCUUCUUUUUUCUUGGUUAGUCUAGCUAGAGGUUUAUCAAUCUUACUGAGUUUUUUAAAGAACCAGCUUUUGGUUUCAUUGAUUACCCUCAACUGUGUAUAUAUUUUUUAUUCCAUUGAUUCUGAUCUUUCCUUCUAAUUCACUUUUCCCUUUCUUUCUUUUCUUUCUUUUCCUUCUUUCUUUCUUUCUUUCUUUUCCUUCUUUCUUUCUUUCUUUCUUUUCCUUCUUUCUUUCUUUCUUUCUUUCUUUCUUUCUUUCUUUCUUUCUUUCUUUUCCUUCUUUCUUUCUUUCUUUGUCCCUCCCUCUUCCUCUUCCUCUUCCUCUCUCUCUUUUUCUUUCUUUUCUUUCUUUCUGACAGAGUCUCACUCUGUUGCCCAGGCUGGAGUCCAGUGACACUAUCACAGCUUACUGCAGCCUUGACCUCCUGGGCUCAAGCGAUCCUUCAGCCUCCUGAGUAGCUGGGACUACAGGUGUGUGCCACCACCUGGCUAGCGUGUGUGUUUGUGUGUGUGUGUGUAGAUGGGGUCCCACUGUGUUGCCCUGGCUGGUCUCGAACUCUUGGGCUCAUGCUAUCCUCCCACCCUGGCUUCCCUGCUGGGAUUACAGGCAUGAGCCACCACACCUGGCUCCUUUAUUUUUCUUUCUUUCCAGUCUAUUACUUUUAGCCUAUCUUGGUGUUUAUAUUUAACAUUUCAUUUCUUGAGGUAGCUUAUAGUUUGUGUCUCACUUUUUAAAUACAUUCUGAUAAUCUCUGCCUUUCAAUCUGAGUUUAGAUCAUUUCUAUUUAAUGUAAUCAUUGAUAUUAUUGGGUUUAAAUCUACCAUCUUGCUAUUUAUUUGUCCCAUCUUACCUUUGUUCCAUUUCCACUUCUUUUCUGCUUUCUGAUGGAUUGAUCAAGUAUGUUUUCGUAUUCUGUUUUAUUACCACUCUUAGCUUAUUAAUUGUGUCUUGUUGUAGUUUUUAAAAUGUUUUCUCUAGGAUUUAUAAUAUACAUUUUUAACUUGUCAUAGUCUACCCUCACAUGAUGUUAUGGCAUCUACAUAUAAUGUAAGAGCCUCCUUACAGCAGUAUGUUUUCAUUUCUCCUCCCAUCCUCUGUAUUGGUGUUGUUAUGUUUUACAUCUGCAUAUGUCUUAAGGCUGGGCAUGGUGGCUCAUGCCUAUAAUCCCAGCACUUUGGGAAGCCAAGGCUGAAGAAUUCUUGAGCCCAGGCAUUCAAGACCAGCCUAGGCAAAUAGUGAGACCCUGUCUCUACAAAAAAAUAAAAAAUUAGCCAGAAACGGUGGUAUGCACCUGUAGUCCCAGGUGCUUGGGAGGUGAGAGAAUCACGUGAGCAUGGGAGGUUGAGGCUACAGUGAGCCGUGAUCAUGCCGCUGCACUCCAGCCUGUGCAACACAGUGAGACCCUGUCUCUAAAGAAAAGAAAAAGAAAGAAAAUGUGUGCAAAACCCACAAAACUAUAAAGAAUAGUCAAGCAGUUUGAAAAGAACCAAAUGGAAGUUCUAAAAGGAAAGUUUUAAUUUAGUUCAAAUUUUAGUUGAAUUUUAAUUUCAACUAAAUUAAAAACUUAGUAUGCAUGUUUAACAGAAGAUUAUAAAUAACCAAAGCGAGACUUCAUGAGCUAAAAGAUAAAUAUGAAUACAGUAUACAGAAUGCUGCCUGGAAAGACAUAGAUUUGGAAAACCUGGAAAAAGGGUUAAGAGACAUAAAGGCUAGAAUAGGAAAAUCCAACAUGAGCCUAAUUAGAGUGCCAGAAGGAGAAGAGAUGGAAUGGAGCAGAGGAAAUAUUUGAAGAGAUAAUGGCUAUGAAAUUUCUAAACUAAUGAAAGUCACAUAAUUGAGAAAUUCAUAUAAAUUUAUAUAAUUGAGAACCUCAUGCAGAAAAAAAUACAAAAUAAACCCACACCUAGAUAGACCACAUUGAAACUUCAGAACACCAAAGACAAAAGCGUCCUAAAUGCAGCUGGAGAUGCAUGGAAAAUGACCUUCAAGGGAGUGACUGAGAGAUGAUGUUUUCUAGCGACAAGGAAAGCCAGAGGAGGACAAUGGACGAGACCUUCGAGGUGAUAAUGGAAACUAAUGACCCAGAAUUCUGUAUCCUGUAAAAAUAUCUUUCAGGAACCAGGACAAAAUGAAGACAUUUUCGGACAAACUGAGUUUACUACGGAAGAUUCUCAUUAAAGAAACAUUUAAAAGGUGUAAGGAAUUGGUAUCACAGGGUGAUCUGACAAGGAAGAAGGAAUGAAGGAUAUAGAAAGAGGUAACAUUUGGGUAAAUCUAGUAAACAUCAAUGGCUUAAAGCAACAAUAACAAUUCCUAUGGGUCUUGAAAAGAAAAAUAAUAGCCAGGCACAGUGGCUCACACCUAUAAUCCCAGUGCUUUGGGAGGCUGAGGCAGGAGGAUUGCUUGAGCCCGGGAGGUCGAGGCUGCAGUGAGCCAAGAUCAUGCCACUGCACUCCAGCCUGCGUGACAGUGAGACUCUGUCUAAAAAACCAGAAAAAAAAAAAAGGAAAAAUAAAGAAUAUUAAAAUGCAUAAUAAUAAAAUUUAAGUUGGGACUGGAGUAAACAGAGUUAAAUACUUCUCGGGUCCUUGUAUUGUUCAGGAAAAGGGUAAAACUAUUGAUUAACUUUACGAUUUGAUAAUUUAAGUGUGAGUGUCACAAUUAGCAGGAUGCCUUAGAUUGGAUUCCUUCAGAAGAAGUAGCUAAAACGAGGAUUCACAUGCAAGGAGUUUGUUUGAAGCUGCAGGAAAUAAGGUGGGUGGGUGAGAAAGUGAGGCAGGGGAGGGAAGAAGUGCCAUCCUGCCAGCUGCCCGGUCUCUUAUCCUGCGGCCCGUGUAGCAAGAUUGUACUUAGAACUUAGCUAUUAGAUCCAGAGGAUGAAGACAGCUUUUGAGGCUGCACAUGGUGGCUCACGCCUGUAAUCCCAGCACAUUGGGAGGCCGAAGCGGGUGGAUCACUUGAGCCCAGGAGUUGGAGACCAGCCUGGAAAACAUGGUGAAACCUUGUCUCUACAAAAAAAAAAAAAAAAAAAAAAAAAACCAAAAAUUAGCCAGGCAUGGUGGCGGGUGCCUGUAGUCCUAGCUACUUGGGAGACUGAGGUGAGAGGUUUGCUUGAGCUUAGGAGGCGGAGGUUGCAGUGAGCCAAGAUCACAUCCCUGCACUUCAGCCUGGGUGACAGAGUGAGACCCUAUCUCAAAAAAAAAAAAAAAAAAAAAAAAGACAGUUUUUGUUAAUCAAAUUAGGUAAUUAUGCUGGGAGUUCCAAGAUGACAAGUUUGUGGGUGUAAGAGGCCUGAUAGCCGGCCGGGCGCGGUGGCUCACUCCUGUAAUCCCAGCACUUUGGGAGGCCGAGGUGGGCGGAUCACAAGGUCAGGAGAUCGAGACCAUCCUGGCUAACACGGUGAAACCCCAUCUCUACUAAAAAAUACAAAAAAUUAGCCAGGCGCGGUGGCGGGCGCCUGUAGUCCCAGCUACUUGGAAGGACGAGGCAGGAGAAUGGUGUGAACCCGGGAGGCGGAGCUUGCAGUGAGCCGAGAUCGCGCCACUGCACUCCGGUCUGGGCAACAGAGCGAGACUCCGUCCCCCCGCCAAAAAAGGCUUGGUAAAUCUCUGUUCAGGGUCUCCAGCAACCUAUCAGGGAGUCUCCCUGUCAGGCAGAGCCCUGUCAUCACCAACUUUAGUGCAUCUUUGGGAGGAACUGGGGAAAUCUGGGAAGCGCUCACCAGACAUUCUGCAGCUUGAUAGCUCCUGGCAUGCUUUGCUGGGCCUGUUCCCUUUGUGCUCAUCGCAGUAAAUGGAAAACUCUCCAAAAUUUGUAUGUCAGAGAGAGAUUUGUCGAGGCUGCAGUGCUGUCCUCCUUGGGGCUAUGACUCUGCUGCAGUGCAAAGACUUUCAUGAAAGUGUAUAAUCCUGUUGUUUUUUCAGUUAUUAUAAAAGUGUCUUUGGGCAUGUACGUUCUAUGAAGGAGUCUAGUGAGACAUUCAGAUUUCAGAGAUUUAAAAAAUUUCCUGGCAAGGCGUGGUGGCUCAUGCUUGUAAUCUCAGCACUCUGGGAGGCCGAGGCAGGCGGAUCACUUGAGUUCAGGAGUUCGAGACCAGCCUGGCCAACAUGGUGAGACCCCAUCUCUACUAAAAUACAAAAAUGAGUUGGGUGUGGUGGUACACACCUGUAGUCCCAGCUACUUGGAAGGCUGAAGCAGGGAGAAUGGCUUAAGCCUGGGAGGUGGUUGUUGCAGUGAACUAUGAUUGCACCACUGCACUCCAGCCUGGACGACAGAGCAAAAUCGUGUCUCAAAAAAAAAAAAAAAAUUCCUGAUAGUAGCAAUCUAUUUAAAAACUUCAACUGAUGCAUGUUAUAAUCAUCUUCUGCACUGAUAGAAAUCUGUUUUCUGAAAGGUAUAAUUAUGUGUGAGAUUUCUUUCUUAAACCAGAAGGAUUUUUUUUUUUUUUUGAGACAGAGUCUUGCUCUGUCGCCCAGGCUGGAGUGCAGUGGCGUGAUCUCGGCUCACUGCAAGCUCCGCCUCCCAGAUUCAUGCCAUUCUCCUGCCUCAGCCUCCCGAGUAGCUGGGACUACAGGCGCCUGCCGCCACGCCUGGCUAAUUUUUUGUAUUUUUAGUAGAGAUGGGGUUUCACCGUGUUAGCCAUUGUGCUUGAUCUCCUGACCUUGUGAUCCGCCUGCCUCGGCCUCCCAAAGUGCUGGGAUUACAGGGGUGAGCCACCGUGCCCGGCCUACUGUCACUUUCAUUAAGGCAUAACAAUGUUGUAAAUGCCAUGAUUUUGGAUGUCCUGUACCAUCAGGUGAGAAUUACCAUUUUCUUUAACAUAGGUUAUGCUUGUUUGCUGAUGGAAAUGAUCCAGAAGAGAAGGACAAGUUGACGAUUGAGAGGGUUAAUGUCAGGUAAGAAACUUGAGUGGACAUUGAGGAAAGAGCGAGGUUCAGUGGACUGGAGGUUUGUGGUGGUUUCAUGACACGUGGACUGGAGAUUUGCAGUGGUUUUAUGACACAUGGACUGGAGGUUUGUGGUGGUUUCAUGACACAUGGACUGCAGAUUUGCAGUGGUUUUAUGACACAGCUCCUAAGUUCUUUGACACUCUUCCCAUGGAGGGGUAGGGUCUGUGACCCCCCUCUUGAAGCUGGGUAGGCUUGCAACUGCUUUGGCCAAUAGUCACAGCAGCAGUGAUGCUGUAGGACUUACAAGGUUAGACCAGAAAAGGGCAUGCCCUCCAAGGAUCCUUACUCUGAUGGGAACCAGCCAUCAUGUAGAAACUCUACCCUUGGCUGGGUGCGGUGGCUCACGCCUGUAGUCCUAGCAUUUUGGGAGGCCGAGGUGGGCGGAUCACCUGAGGUCAGGAGUUCCAGACCAGCCUGGCCAACAUGGCGAAGACCCGCCUCUACUAAAAAUACAAAAAAAAAAUGAGCUGGGCGUGCUGGCAGGCACCUAUAAUCCCAGCUACUCGGGAGGCUGAGGUAGGAGAAUCACUUGAACCCAGGAGGUGGAGGUUGCAGUGAGCCAAGAUCACACCACUGCACUCCAACCUGGGUGACAGAGCGAGACUCUUGUCUCCAAAAAAAAAAAGAAAAGAAAAGAAACUACCCUGAGACCACGAUGCAGGAGAGCCCAGUGGAUAUGCUGGUGACAGCCGCAGCAGAGCCCCCAGCUCACACUCAGCAUCCACUGCCAACCUUCUGAAUGAACCAUCUCAGACCUCGAGCCAGGCUUACCUCCAACUGCAACCAAACCUCAAAAGAGACCCAGGCAAGAACUUCCCAUUGGAGUCCUUCCUGAAUUUCCACCCUCAAAACAAACAAUUGUAAAUAACAACUUAAUUGUUUUAAUCCACUAAAUUUGAGGAUAAUUUGUUACACAGUAAUAGUAAUUGAAGCACAUUUCUUAUGGAGUUAAAAAAAAAAAAAAAGGCUUGACACAGUGGCUCACGCCUGUAAUCCCAGCACUUUGGGAGGCUGAGGUGAGUGGAUUGCUUGAGCUCAGGAGUUUGAGACCAGGCUGAGCAACAUGAUGAAACCCUGUCUCUACAAAAAAUAAAAACAUUAGCCAGGUGUGGUGGCACACAUCUAUAGUCCAACUACUCUGAGGAAUGAAGUGGGAGAAUUGCUUGAACCUAGGAGGCAGAGGUUACAGUGAGCUGAGAUUGCACCACUACAUUCCUGCCUGGGUGACAGAGCAAGACCCUGUCUCAAAAAAAAAAAAAAGUGGGUAUUGUAGUAAUGCAGCAAGAGACCAAGAAAAGUAGGAGGUAGUGAUCAGAGACCUGGCUGCAUAAAAAUGAAGAUUCGGGAAAUGGUGGCGUUAGGACUUCACCAUGGUGAAGGUAGAACUCUUAAUUUUCAUCUUUAUUAAAUGUGUCUGUUUGCAGUUUUAACCAUUGGCAUAUUUAUUUUGUGUUUGUGAUUUCUGUGAAAUAUGAGUACAAUAAAUACUGAUAGUUUG